CAAAAACAUCGCCUCUUGAACAUAUUAACAUAAGAGGUCCCGCCUGCCCGGUGACUAUAAGUUUAACGGCCGCGGUAUUUUGACCGUGCAAAGGUAGCGCAAUCACUUGUCUUUUAAAUGAAGACCUGUAUGAAUGGCAUCACGAGGGCUUAACUGUCUCCUUUCCCCUGUCAAUGAAAUUGAUCCCCCCGUGCAGAAGCGGGGAUAACUACAUAAGACGAGAAGACCCUAUGGAGCUUUAGGCUCCAGAACAGACUAUGUAAAACACCCUUGCAUAAAAAACAGAACCUAUUAGACCCUGUUCUACUAUGCCUUUGGUUGGGGCGACCGCGGGGAAAUACACAACCCCCAUGUGGAUUAGGAGCACAAUCCUCCCACAACCUAGAGCCACAGCUCUAAGUAACAAAAUGUUUGACCAACAAAUGAUCCGGCACAGCCGAUCAACGGACCGAGUUACCCUAGGGAUAACAGCGCAAUCCCCUUCUAGAGUCCCUAUCGACAAGGGGGUUUACGACCUCGAUGUUGGAUCAGGACAUCCUAUUGGUGCAGCCGCUAUUAAGGGUUCGUUUGUUCAACGAUUAAAGUCCUACGUGAUCUGAGUU
rnacentral:rRNA from 1 species